GUCACUACAGGACGUUUAUUGCAUUUUAUAGUAUACAGUACGAUACGGUACGUCACGGGCAGUGACUGUAAUUGUGAACUUCGAUUAUAGUUCCAUUGAACUUAUUCCUAUUAAGUAUUAAUGCAUGCUUAUGUAUUAAAAACAAGUACAUAAUAUUAUAAAAUGAUUUCGAUAUUCGACUAACUUGUAGCAGGCGUCUGAAGCACUAGCUGGGCUUGUAGCUUGUCGGCACUCAACAAACGUGAAACACGACGACGACGAGCUCGGGACUUGGAGCAAGUGUUUGACCGUGUACCUACGCCAUUUUAAUCUAGUUGUGAUGCCGUCUUUUGCUCGGCGGAACGUCCCGUCAUUAUCGUUUAGGGUAGCGGCUUUUACCGGUGCGUUGCGAUAGAAUUUAUGUGAAAACAGAAACACGGACCUCGUCAAGUUAAUGCAAUUUUAUUUUUCUGGAAGUGCCUACAAAGAAAUCAUGUUCCAGAAGGCACAGUUUAUAAACCAACACUUUAACAAUGUAAAUGACAACGCGGCAGAACCUGCCGAUGAUCCAGUAAUCAAACCUCCUCCGGAACCUCUAACCAGAGAAAUUCGAGGACUCUGAGGACUAUCAACUGUAUAUAUUGCUGAAUAAGGAUUUUUCCAUUACCAGCAUUCCAAUAAAGGAAAUAAUCGGUUAGUAAUUCAAAAGGUUAUAAUUGAUUUUGAGCAGGGUCUUAGGAACGCUAUAUCGUAUAUAUAGAUGUGUCACCAGAUACCAAAAAUUCUGAUGCUAGUAUUACUUAUCAGGUACUGCAAAAACCAGAGAGCAUUAUUUGAUAUGUCAUUGAAGCCAUUGUCUGGUGAGUUUAUGGUUAACAAAAACAAAAGAAUCCUGCAGAAGAUAAUCAUUUUUAGUAUAUAAAGUAAUAUGAAAAUAAAUAUCAAAUUUAAAAUUAGAAAAACGAUCACCAAGCAAAGAAAAAUAUCUAGUCAGAAUAUACCUGAAUGAAUUAAAAUAUAAGUUUGCGUGUGUGCUUACAAUAAUACAAUUUCUUGGCCAAUGCCAAAUGCCUACAAUUAAAUAAGUUAUAUUAUUUGUAUGUUAUGUUAUAUAUGCAUGUAAAUAUCUUAAAAUCUUAUUGUUAUUAGAAACUCAACUGGUUUUGGUUAUAUUUUACUAAUCAAAAUUAUUAACCUAUUUUACUAUAUUAUCUAUAUUCAUACUUUUGCAUGAUUGUAACAUACAAUUUAUAUUAUAGUUUCUAAUAUUGUACAUGAUGUUAAAUGUAUUAGGUAUUAUAAUUGAUGUCUUUGGCUCAUUUACCUGUGACGGGAAAACUCUACCUAGGAAUUUCAUUUUUUAUCUAAUUGGAAUUGAGGAUGAUUAAACUAGAUUAUAAUUUGUAUAUGUUGCAUUCACUUAGUGAAAUCGUUCAUUUCAUAAAGUAGAUGUCCACUUCAGGAAAUGUAUCCAUUUUGUGAAAAUGACGUUUUACUACACUAUAUGGACAAUUUGUUGACCUUUUCAUGUAGUGAAUGAAAUUCAUUUUAUCCACAUUCUGUAAUAUUACUAUUAAUAUAUACGAGUAUUUUUGAUAUUUGGUUAUUGUACGAUUUGCACUAGGUAAUUGUGUAUAAUAUGAUUAUAAUUAAAUAAUAUAAUAUAGGUAACCUUAAAUAAUGAAGUAUAAAAAGUUUUCUUAAACUUUAUUUUUUAUUUUAUUAUUUAUUUUUACAUGGUUUAGAGUUAAGGCAACAACUAUUGCACAACAUUUUUUUUUUAAAAAGGCACAUCUUAAUGUUUGACAUGGGCUUUUCGAUUUACAUGAACAAGAAGAAAAGCCUUGUCCACCUGUUGUGACUUUAACAGUUUCUCGAACAGUUUGCUCUUUGUCCAACAAAACCUCGUCACUCUGUAAAAACUUCUCACAUUUUUUUAAGCAAUCUCCUCCAUACCAUCCUUUAAUUAUUCCAUGUUUAGUCCCUAGCUUAUAUAGUUUAUUCUUUUUUUCAACAACUAAACAUAAAAUAUUUGGUGGAUCUGUAGGCCCUCUGUCGACUUUUGGAACAGCCAUUACCACACAAUCGUUAAUUUCGAGGUCUGGAACUAGUCUAAAAAAGUGUAUUAUAAUAAUAUUUUUAUUUUAUUUUUAAAAUAAUUGUGUUAUUUAAAAAUUUACCUGUAACAUUUUUUCAGCUAAUUUUUUUAUGCCAUCAGAGCCUUUUUUCGUUGCAUUUUAAUCUGUUCUUUUUUAUGUAUAGUUUACACAUAAUAGAUCCAGAUUCUUCUUGAUUUUCAACUUCAUGUGUGUCAAUUUCACAUGUAUGACAUGUAUAAUUAACUGUUGAGCAUUGUACAUUUUCUUCAAUUUCUUCUUCAUUCGUAAUAGUCUACCAAUAACUGGUAUAAGACAGACUGACACAUUAUUGUCAACGGGAUUUCAGGAUCAUAAACUAUCUGUUUAUUACUAUGUAUCUGUACAAUCAUUUUCAAUUAUUUGAUAUCUUAUUUAGAAAUUACCUGAUCGACUGACGAACCAGUGCAGUGUACAAGUUACAAAUUAUAUCAAGCAACUUUUAUAUUUAUUUUAUACACAAUUACCUAGUGCAAAUCGUACAUUAACCUGAUAUCAAAAAUACUCGUAUAUAAUAGUAAUAUUACAGUAAUAUUACAUCAAGAUGUGCCUGUUUUAAAAAAAAAAUGUUGUGCAAUAGUCGUUGCCAUAACUCUAAACCAUGUAAAAAUAAAUAAUAAAAUAUAAAAUACAGUUUAAGAAAACUUUAAUUUAAUUUUUAUACUUCACUAUUUAAGGUUACCUAUAUUAUAUUAUUUAAUUAUUAUCAUAUUAUACACAAUUACCUAGUGCAAAUCAUGCAAUAACCCAAUAUCAAAAAUACUCCUAUAUAUAAAUAGUAAUAUUACAGAAUGUGGAUAAAAUGAAUUUCAUCCACUUCAUGAAAAGGUCAACAAAUUGUCCAUAUAGUAUAGUAAAACGUCAUAUUCACUAAAUGGAUACAUUUCAUGAAGUGGACGUCAACUUCAUGAAAUGAGCGAUUUCACUAAGUGGAUGUGACAUAUACAUUUCUUAGUUCACUUGUUAACAUUGGAUGAUAGAGGAUGAAAUGAUUUUAGUUGAGCAGUCAACAGGCAGAGGGUUAUUACAACUUAAAUCACAUUAAUUACUUUAUUAACAAUGUAUUUAUCAUUCAAAUGUUUUUCAAUUACUAACAUGUCUAAACAAUAUGCUUAUCCCAGUUUUGGUUCAUUAGGUCAGGAAAGCAGAUUACAAUUUACAUGGUCACCCACGUAAUGAUGUGAUAACAAGAAAUGAGUGGGUAAAUGUUGAAAAUAGCAACUAUAAUCUGAGUGAUUUCAUAAGAAAUGUGGCAUUCACAACAUACCAAAUUAAUAGAAAUAAAAUUGGGAGCCCAAUUUUCCACAUCAUGCUACAGUACCAGGUAUUAACCUCUUGCUCUAUCUGCACUAUUGCCACAGCCAUUUUUUAGACCUUUAAUAUUUGGCCUAAUGCACGCAACCGUCUCUUCGAACACCUGCGGUCUUCCUAAUGUGUCCACUGUUGCCCAUUUGACCACUUCGGAUACCUCUACCAUUGUCACCAGGUUUAGACCAGCCAAUAUAUCCACCACCACCUGAGUUACUCUUAAAGAAGAUAUUAAUUGAAGCUCCUCACUGGGGACCAGGACGUAUUUGUGGUCGAGGUAGAAAAAGGCAUGAAAAAAUUGAUCAACCAUAUCCUAUAGACACUUAUGAACAAGCAUAUCAAAAACAAAGAAAAAUAUUUUUAUCAUCAGAAGCCUAGGGUGUGGAAAGAGGAUAAAAAAGUCAAACAAGAAAAAUAAUGAUGCUGAUACUGACAGUUUUAGGGGUUUCUCUCCAAUUGAAAUAAUUGAAAAAAAAGUAUCUAACAUAAUAUCAAAUGAAAUAUCUGAUCACAGUAAAGAACAAAAUACUAGUAAUAUCAUAUCUAGUAAGCAAUUAAUACACUGCAUAAUAUUCAGGAUCAAUCAUGCCAAGAGUUAAGACAAAAGGCUUUGUAUACAGUUAAUAUGUUUGCAAGUACAAGUGGUAUAAAAUCAUAAAACUACAACAUUGUUUAUUAUGCUCUCAACCAAAGUAUUUCUGUAACAGAUCAUGCCACUACAUCUACAAAUUGCAAUUUAUUCAAUAAUUUCAAAGUUCAAACUAUAAACAGCAUGACCAGUAAGUGCAGUAAUAGUAUAAAUGAAUUAGGUAUUAAAAUGUAAUAUAAUUAAUAACUAUAUUUUAUUUUAUUAAUCAUAAUUAAGUGUAAAUAAAUAUUUUUUUUUUAAAGUAGAAGACCUAUAAGUAUAUUUAUUAAAAGAAUAUUUAAAUGUAUUCAUUAACUUUUGAGAUUCUGAGCAGAGCGAUGAAUGUAUUGAUUUUACAUUGAUGUGUGUUUUUUUUAUUUUUUA